rnacentral:tRNA from 2 species
ACCUGGCUGGCUCAGUUGGUAGAGCAUGAGACUUAAUCUCAGGGUCAUGAGUUCAAGCCCCAUGUUGGGCG